CACACCGCCCGUCACACCAUGGGAGUGGGUUGCAAAAGAAGUAGGUAGCUUAACCUUCGGGAGGGCGCUUACCACUUUGUGAUUCAUGACUGGGGUGAAGUCGUAACAAGGUAACCGUAGGGGAACCUGCGGUUGGAUCACCUCCUUACCUUAAAGAAGC
rnacentral:rRNA from 3 species